rnacentral:rRNA from 1 species
UACGUAGGGGGCAAGCGUUGUCCGGAAUGACUGGGCGUAAAGGGCGUGUAGGCGGCCGAUUAAGUCUGGAGUGAAAGUCCUGCUUUCAAGGUGGGAAUUGCUUUGGAGACUGGUUGGCUUGAGUGCGGAAGAGGUAAGUGGAAUUCCCAGUGUAGCGGUGAAAUGCGUAGAGAUUGGGAGGAACACCAGUGGCGAAGGCGACUUACUGGGCCGUAACUGACGCUGAGGCGCGAAAGCGUGGGGAGCGAACAGGAUUAGAUACCCUGGUAGUCCCUGA